UAUUCUAUCUGUUCUUUCUUAAUGAGUUUUAGAUAAUUUUAGUUGUAUUUCUUUGUAAUUUUGUGUUGUACAAAGAUUAAUUUAACAUUUUCUCUGGAAGUAUUAAUUUAGGAAGAUAAUAUGCUUCAUUGGUGUUGUGUUUUGAAGUGUGAAAUGCAAAGUAAUUGUGAUAAAGUCAAGAUAAAGUUCACUUUUAAACUGAACUAAAUAAGGUAUCUGAGAGACAACGAUGGUUAAAUGCAAUACAAUGUACAGGUUUUACUAGCGAAAUGAAAAUUUUCCUGUCCUGUCUGCUGUAAUCAUUUUAUAUCUGGAAAACCAGCCGACUUAAUCGAUAAUAACAAUCUCCAGAUUGGGUUCCUUCAAUAAAUAUGGGCUAUAAACACAAUGAAAUAAGUUCCCCAAAAUCUAAAAUGGAGUGGUAUCAAAGGAGAAUUAAAGGAAAAAAUAUUCAUAUUGAAAUUAUUUAUAAGGCACUGGACUGUCUUAAAUUCUACAAUAAUACUAGAAUCAGCUGAGAGAAGUGGUCUACAAAAAACCAGGAAGGAAACGGAAUAUGUGGCUACGAAAGGCAAAAGAAAGGUUUACAAAGCAAAUGUGACACAUUUUUUUGAAAUAUUUAGGAAUAUGU